GUUGACCUCGGAUCAGAUA
rnacentral:rRNA from 1 species